AAUAGGGACUUUGAGGAGCCUGGCUAUGGAUUGUAGGAUGGGAGGAUUCUCCUGAACCGUGCAUGUGGGCAUGCCGUCAUCCUAAGAGUCAUUGUAAAUACAAGGCCACGGAGUUAGGAUAAAGGAGAUGAAGGAGGUGUGAAGACAGAGGUGAGAGUAACAUUCCUUGAAGACAGCAGCAGAAAGCAUGAGCCAAGGAAAGCAGGUAGCCGCUAGAACAUGGAAACAUGAAGGAUCCGAUUCUUCCCUAAAACGCAGGAACGGGCACAACGUAGCUCUGUAAAUACAUUCGUUUAAUUUUCUGACCUCCAGAACAGUAAGGAUACUUUUUGUGUUUUAAACUGCUGAGCCCGUGGUCAUUCGCUAUAGCAGCCAUAAGAAACCAAGGUUGCCUCCCAGGGUUCUCAAGGAACCUCGGUAAGUACAAAUUUACAAUGAAAACCCACAGAAAGAAAACCCAGCUUUUGAUUCAAAACAGCAGCGUCUGCCUUAAUGAAACAUAAAUGUGCUUCGGAUCAUUUCCUGCUUCUUCCGUUAGGAUAAUGGUUUCCAGACGAUGCAGACACCUGGGUCCAGGACUGCAUUCCAAGAAGCACAGGCUUGGAGUGCACGUCUGAGAUUUACAUGGGAGGGACCUUUCCCCAUGCCUUCGACAUCUGCCCUCAGAGAACAUCCUAAAGGCUAGGAUGGAAAGCAAAAUCAAUAAAGCCCCGAUUCCUUUGGGUAGACCACCACUCUCUAGUGCUUUGAAUUUGAAGUAUCCCCCUAAGGCCCUAUGCCAAAGGCUCUGUCACCAGCGUGAGGGACUGUUGAGUACUGGUGCAACAUUUAGGAGCUGAAGAUUAGGAGUAAGGAGUGAGGCCAUGGGGGCACACUCUUGAAGGUAGGAUGCUGCUUCACCUCGGUCUCUCCCUUCUGUAUAUCUUUCAUCAAGUAAGUACUUAGCUUUACUAUAACAUCUGGCAUGAUGACUAUUUUGCCACAGACCCAAGUAAUCAUGAAUGGAAGUGUCUGAAAGAGUGAGGCAACACACUCAGAUAUUAUGUCACAUAGACAGGAAGCUGACACACUGGAGGCUGUUUUUUUUCCCCCACUUAUAGAAACAUCUAAAUGUAACAAAAGUUAUUUAGAAUUGCAACUCUGGGAACAGGAACUUUCUGGACGGUUGUUCUAUAAAGACAUCUUUAGUAUCUCACUUACAUAAACAUAACUGAGACCAGCUGUCUAUUAUGGACAGAUGAAUGCUUGGUACUUGGGCUGUGACUGUAAACACACAGUGGGUUUCAAAAAUUUAGAACCCAAACCCUCAUUAGGGAUUUCUUAAAAGAGCGACUACAUGGUGAAAUAAUAUUUUUGAUGUAUUGUGUUAAGUAAAAUAUGAUGUCGAUUUUGCCCAUUUCUUUUUAAUUUAAGAAAAUGUGUCCUCAAUAAAAUGUAAAACUAUAUAUGUAAUUUGUGACUUUCUUUAUGGUUCUGGGGAUUGCCAUAGGUAGCAAUGGGCACACAACAAUAUGACAACACAACUCAUGAAUCUUUAGAAAGAGUCAUUGAAUGACAGGUGAAUCUGAAUGAAGCAGGGAAGGUGUCAGGGAGAGGUCCACCUCAGGGCUGUCUCAGAGAACAAAGAACUACUCAAGAAGAAUAUAACAUGUGUGUUCUGAGUGGGGAAACAAUCCAUAGAAUACCAAGGUUUGAGGUAGGCAUGGAAAAUGAUAGUUUACAUGAUAGAUAUGAGGCCAAUUUUUGAAGAAUUUAUCUGAAAGUGUCCUUAGUAGUAUAGUAUUAUGUUAACAUCACAGAGUUCCUUCUGUAAUGUAGAAAGAAUCAGUGAUAUCAAAGAGGAUGAAAAAUGUGUUCCAGCCAUCUUUGAGAAUUGUGGAAUCAAGGAAGGAAAGGAAACACAAAAUAAGGAGA